rnacentral:sRNA from 1 species
GCAGCGUGACUGCUUGCAGGCAAAGCAGCUUAUUUAUUUGACGGAUAAACAGACAUAAGCAAGUAGGGUGAUAACCCGGAUUGCGCAUGUCUGUGCGAUUUCGGGAGUUCGAAGAACGGAGAAAUCGU